GACAGAGGGGGCAAGCGUUGCUCGGAAUUACUGGGCGUAAAGGGCGCGUAGGCGGGAUGGCAAGUCGGUCGUGAAAUCCCUCGGCUCAACUGAGGAUCGUCGAUCGAUACUGCCGUUCUUGAGGAUUGCAGAGGAGACUGGAAUUCCCGGUGUAGCGGUGAAAUGUGUAGAGAUCGGGAGGAACACCGGUGGCGAAGGCGGGUCUCUGGGCAUUAACUGACGCUGAGGAGCGAAAGCAUGGGGAGCAAACAGG
rnacentral:rRNA from 1 species